rnacentral:rRNA from 1 species
UGAACGCUGGCGGCGUGCCUAAUACAUGCAAGUCGAGCGAACGGACGAGAAGCUUGCUUCUCUGAUGUUAGCGGCGGACGGGUGAGUAACACGUGGAUAACCUACCUAUAAGACUGGGAUAACUUCGGGAAACCGGAGCUAAUACCGGAUAAUAUUUUGAACCGCAUGGUUCAAAAGUGAAAGACGGUCUUGCUGUCACUUAUAGAUGGAUCCGCGCUGCAUUAGCUAGUUGGUAAGGUAACGGCUUACCAAGGCAACGAUGCAUAGCCGACCUGAGAGGGUGGUCGGCCACACUGGAACUGAGACACGGUCCAGACUCCUACGGGAGGCAGCAGUAGGGAAUCUUCCGCAAUGGGCGAAAGCCUGACGGAGCAACGCCGCGUGAGUGAUGAAGGUCUUCGGAUCGUAAAACUCUGUUAUUAGGGAAGAACAUAUGUGUAAGUAACUGUGCACAUCUUGACGGUACCUAAUCAGAAAGCCACGGCUAACUACGUG